rnacentral:rRNA from 1 species
GAUUGAGGGCGCGAUCAUGGUCACUGGCAUGUUUGUUGUCGUCGCAAUCUUCAUGUUUCCGCUCAUGACCUUCCCAGCGGCCCGAAUUAUCGAAAAGCGCCUGUUCAAAAAGCUCCGGCGAUCCGGCU